rnacentral:rRNA from 1 species
UACGGAGGGGGCUAGCGUUGUUCGGAAUUACUGGGCGUAAAGCGCACGUAGGCGGACUGGAAAGUCAGGGGUGAAAUCCCGAGGCUCAACCUCGGAACUGCCUUUGAUACUGGAUGUCUUGAGUGUGAGAGAGGUGAGUGGAACUCCGAGUGUAGAGGUGAAAUUCGUAGAUAUUCGAAAGAACACCAGUGGCGAAGGCGACUCGCUGGACAAGUAUUGACGCUGAGGUGCGAAAGCGUGGGGAGCAAACAGG